rnacentral:tRNA from 1 species
AAAAAGAUAAGCUAAUUAAGCUAUUGGGCUCAUAUCCCACUUAUAAAGGUUUAAUCCUUUUCUUUUUA